rnacentral:rRNA from 1 species
UACGUAGGGGGCAAGCGUUGUCCGGAUUUAUUGGGCGUAAAGAGCGUGUAGGCGGCCAUACAGGUCCGUUGUGAAAACUGGAGGCUUAACCUCCAGACGUCGAUGGAAACCGUAUGGCUAGAGUCCGGAAGAGGAGAGUGGAAUUCCUGGUGUAGCGGUGAAAUGCGCAGAUAUCAGGAGGAACACCUAUUGCGAAGGCAGCUCGCUGGGACGUUACUGACGCUGAGACGCGAAAGCGUGGGGAGCAAACAGG